CAUUAAAUUUAUGUUGUAAGGAAAAUACAGACCUAAGAAACACUUGCAAAAUAAGUUUUCUAAGACUUUUGCAUUGAGACUUUAUUCAUUCUUUAAUUUUGGGAAGAGUCAUUAAAUAUGCUGUCUCUACCCAAACCAAUGGAGGGAAUCAGCUGAAGAAUGGUUUUUCCUUUCAUCUUCCUCUCCCUCCUCUAUUCUCCUUUAAUUAAUUAGAGGCCCUGGAAUAUGCUCAUUGACUCAGAAGAAGGAGCCAGCAUGAAAGGCUUAAAAUACUGGGGAUUGGUUGUGGGAGAGGAAGGAAUGAGUGAGGAAGCAAGAUUCAUCUGAAGUUGGGAGAAAAUGGAUCCAGAGAAGUGCUGAAGAGUGUGAUGGUGAGCUGGAACGAAAGGAGGAUUGGGGAGGAGAUACAUAGAUGGGGUGUCAGUUGGUAUCCUGAUGAGGGACAGAGGAGAGCACAUUUGAGGAAUGUUCAUUUAAUACACUUUACUUUUUUCUGUGAAAGAAAAGCUACAACACCAUCUGCAGAAUGUCAGUGGGGCACGGUUUGAACCAAAGACUUGAGAAGGGUUAAAGUUUAGGAAGAGGACCUUUUGUUGGAAAUGGGAAAUGACACAUUAGUUUUAUGAAUGAAGACUUACAAUGCUAAUGCCUGCCUUGUUCCCUUUCCUCUCAAUCCACGAUGAGACAUCAUGGAAACAGGGAAUGGAGUGGGAAAAGGGGAACAGAGUGGGAAGGUAUUAAUGAUAGGCAUUUACCUGUGUGAAUGAGUGAGGUUCUGCCUCUCCAUCUCAUCACAAUCAUUAGCAUGUAUUUAUUGGAUUUGUAUGAUCAAGGCGCCAAAGAGACUGCGCAAUGAUGAGAUAGGGGGCUUCUCCUUAUGGAACUUACAUCUGAUUGGGGAGAUGAAUCAUAGCCACUUGAAAAGUUAACUGCAUUACAAGGUAAUUUUGCCAUAAGUGAUGAAAGUCGCAUAAAGAAUCAGAGAAAUGAUGGAUCACUUCCAAAUCGAGUAGUCGACAAAGAUUUCAUAUUGUUUUUACCUCGCCUUUGUGUAUUUAUUUAUUUCUCCUUUCUGAUAGAAUAGGCACUGCCAAAUCCAUCUUCAACCCCUGUCACAUUUCUUAGUACAUGACAAGCACUUAAUAACCACUGCUGAAUGAAUGGACUAAUGAAUAAGCAAACAAACAAGUCAAGUAAGAUUUGAAUGGGUAGAAGGGUAGAAAUUCAUUUCAGUCAGGUGAUGGUAACAUAAAAAUAUAGCAGAAGGGAGGAAAGAAGAAAGGGGAAAAAACAGUCUUUACUGAGUAUUUAUACGCCUGUACUGUUAUAUGCUUUUACCUACAUUAUAGACUCAUUUAAUUUGUCACCAUAACCCUGUGAAAUAGCUAUAUAUAUCUCCACUUGAAAGGGUGAAGAGUUUCAGAAAGAUUAGGUGACUUGCUCACAUAGUGAAUAAAUAUCAGUGUAGGGACUGGAACCUCGGAGCACGAGGCUGGUCCCCAGGCAGCAGAGAGGUGGGUUUGCAGUGGAGAGAUGGGUUUGUAGCAAUCAGAUGGGUUUGCAGUGAACUCAUACACUCCUUUGUGAGGGUGUGGCUCUCUCCAGCUCCCCUACAGCGCAUGAUGUUUCUCUAACCUUAAACUCCUGUAACUACUAGCUCCAUCUAGUCCAUGGUGGCGUUGAUGGCCGAGUCAUCACUAUGGCAAAAAAGCCCUGGGUGGCCAGGCCCCAGUUCUUGGCAGGUUCAUUCUCAGGUGACCGUCCUUAUUCACCAACAUCCACACUCCAGGUUUCCUGAACUCUGUGUCCCAAAUGCCCUUCUCACCUUGGUACCUAUUCAUCUUUCAAAAUCUAACUCCGUGGCCACUUCCUCCUUUUCUGACUUGCAAAUAAUACCGGUUGCACAAAUCGAUACUUUUGUCUUCCUAAGUUUCCAUCGUAUUCUCUUCUUUUUCUUUUCCUGCAAAUGGCUAUGGUGACGGAUUCUUCUCAUCUCUCCUCUCCCCUAAAGAGGCCCCAUGGCCAAAGUGCAGUUUAAUAUUUCUAUAGCCACAGGUGGCCUCUGCAGCUUCAGCAUUAUGAAACACAAGGGAAAUUUGGGCACUUAUACCUAAGACUAGGAUUCUGAAAUUCUGUACCUUCUGGAACUAUAGGACCUCCUCUCCUAAUUCCACAGGAUAAACCAAAAAGAGAAUUAAGUUAUGCAUAUGUAUAGUGAUUCAUUCGGAGCCCAUAAAAUUGUUCAUUUUUCUUAAGGUCUGGAAUUCCUAAACGGUUCUAUCUGCAUCCUGUUUUGCCCCUUUUUACAUUGCUUUUCAUUUUGGGGGGAGAAUCUGCUAAGCUGUUCAAGAAAAGUUGAGAGGCUACUUCUGCAGGCUCUGCCCCAAGGUGGCAGCCAGCGUGCAGCUCUUCAGGCUUCAUUCAGAGCUUUUGAAUCUCAGAGCUGGGAGGGAACCACUGGUGCCUUGAGAGAGGCUCAUCCUCAGGAAUAGCAUGAAACAACACACUCGCCUAGCUUCAGGGGUUAAUUAACUGCUGUAACAUAAAUCUCUUAGAAGGAUUUUCCUUCUCUUUGACAGAAAUCUAUUUUCAAAUUUGGGAUAAUUUGCUACUAAAUGAGACCGAGAAUGGUCUCCUCCUUGCAUAGUCUUCUUUUAGAAGCAGCUGAUGAUACCAAAGCUAAGCACCACCCUUACCACCACUGUAAGUGGGGUAUGCAGAGGGCAUGGCAAGUGUGGUCUCUGCCACAGGCUGGGUCUAGAGUUAAGUAUUCCUGGGCCUGGUGGCAGUAGAGAUUGGCGUUGAUACCCAGUUUAACCUAACUCAAGUUCAAAAAUAUUUAGAGAUAACCCAGUGACAUUCACCAGGACGGGAAGGAGGAUUGUUCUAGGAACUCUUUGGAGAGUCUUUGCCCAUCUCUGUAGUCAGAGUGCAGUUGGAGGAGUAGAAGCAGUCACCUAUGCACCCAUAUGCACCAAGAAGUUAGUCCACCUUGGGCGUUCCCAGUGUGGCUCAGUGGAUUAAGAACCCAACUAGUAUCUGUUAGGAUACAGGUUCCAUCCCUGGCCUCGCUCUGUGGGUUAAGGAUCUGGUGUCACCAUGAGCUUCAGUGUACUUUGCUGAUGUGGUUUGGAUCUGAAGUUGCUGUGGCUGUGGCAUAGGCCAGCAGCUGCAGCUCUGAUUUGACCUCUAGCCUGGGAACUUCCAUAUGAUGCAGGUACAGCCGU
rnacentral:lncRNA from 1 species